GCAUAACGCGAAGAACCUUACCUACCCUUGACAUGUCAGAGAUCCCUGAGAGAUUGGGGAGUGCCGCAAGGAAUCUGAACACAGGUGCUGCAUGGCUGUCGUCAGCUCAUGUCGUGAGAUGUUGGGUUAAGUCCCGCAACGAGCGCAACCCUUGUCGUUAAUUGCCAUCAUUUGGUUGGGCACUUUAACGAGACUGCCGGUGACAAACCGGAGGAAGGUGGGGAUGACGUCAAGUCCUCAUGGCCCUUAUGGGUAGGGCUUCACACGUCAUACAAUGGUCGGUACAGAGGGUUGCGAAGCCGCGAGGUGGAGCCAAUCCCAGAAAGCCGAUCGUAGUCCGGAUUGGAGGCUGCAACUCGCCUCCAUGAAGUCGGAAUCGCUAGUAAUCGCGGAUCAGCAUGUCGCGGUGAAUACGUUCCCGGG
rnacentral:rRNA from 1 species